CCUACGGGCGGCUGCAGUGGGGAAUAUUGGACAAUGGGGGCAACCCUGAUCCAGCCAUGCCGCGUGUGUGAAGAAGGCCCUCGGGUUGUAAAGCACUUUCAGUGAGGAAGAACGCCUGGUGGUUAAUACCCAUCAGGAAAGACAUCACUCACAGAAGAAGCACCGGCUAACUCCGUGCCAGCAGCCGCGGUAAUACGGAGGGUGCGAGCGUUAAUCGGAAUUACUGGGCGUAAAGCGCGCGUAGGUGGCUUGAUAAGCCGGUUGUGAAAGCCCCGGGCUCAACCUGGGAACGGCAUCCGGAACUGUCAAGCUAGAGUGCAGUAGAGGAAGGUAGAAUUCCCGGUGUAGCGGUGAAAUGCGUAGAGAUCGGGAAGAAUACCAGUGGCGAAGGCGGCCUUCUGGACUGACACUGACACUGAGGUGCGAAAGCGUGGGUAGCAAACAGGAUUAGAUACCCUAGUAGUC
rnacentral:rRNA from 1 species